rnacentral:rRNA from 1 species
UACGUAGGGUGCGAGCGUUGUCCGGAAUUAUUGGGCGUAAAGAGCUCGUAGGCGGUGUGUCGCGUCGGCCGUGAAAACCUGGGGCUAACUCUGGGCGUGCGGUCGAUACGGGCAUCACUUGAGUUCGGCAGGGGAGACUGGAAUUCCUGGUGUAGCGGUGAAAUGCGCAGAUAUCAGGAGGAACACCGGUGGCGAAGGCGGGUCUCUGGGCCGAUACUGACGCUGAGGAGCGAAAGCAUGGGUAGCGAACAGG